GACGAACGCUGGCGGCGUGCUUAACACAUGCAAGUCGAACGGAAAGGCCCUGCUUGCAGGGUGCUCGAGUGGCGAACGGGUGAGUAACACGUGGGUGAUCUGCCCCUUACUUUGGGAUAAGCCUGGGAAACUGGGUCUAAUACUGGAUAGGACCAUGCUGUAGGUGGUGUGGUGGAAAGAUUAGUUUCGGUAAGGGAUGAGCUCGCGGCCUAUCAGCUUGUUGGUGGGGUAAUGGCCUACCAAGGCGUCGACGGGUAGCCGGCCUGAGAGGGUGGACGGCCACAUUGGGACUGAGAGACGGCCCAGACGCCUACGGGAGGCAGCAGUGGGGAAUAUUGCACAAUGGGCGCAAGACUGAUGCAGCGACGCCGCGGGGGGGAUGACGGCCUUCGGGUUGUAAACUCCUUUCAGCCAUGACGAAGCCCUUGUGGUGACGGUAGUGGUAGAAGAAGCACCGGCUAACUACGUG
rnacentral:rRNA from 1 species